rnacentral:tRNA from 1 species
GGGGAUUUAGCUCAGUGGUCUAAGCGACUGCCUGGCAAGCACUACGUCAUAAGUUCAAUCCCCA